rnacentral:rRNA from 1 species
GCACUCCCAGAAGUUGGGGAGAAGAAUAGGUCAAAAGAUAUCUCAAAAAGUCUCCAAAUCGGGCGUUUAUAAUGUGGAGUAGCGGCUUUAAAUUUGCUGAAAACGGGAUUUCACACGGCCGUGUGGAAUUUCCACAUGCCCGUGUGAAGCUUCUGGAAUUCUGAUUUUCAGCCGACUGUGAACAUUAACUUGCUACAGUGUUUUUGCUACAACGAUUUGCUAAAGUGCUGCUACAGUAUUGUGCCGAAAAGGCUCCCGGAUUCAUCGUUCUUCAUCGAGGCUGUUGAAUUGGGCACACAAUCAAUGGUAGAUCGUGCCGAUUACUUCGAAUCGCCUAAUUGGUAAAGUUCUCAUUGUUGGCAUGAGUUAGACUUAUUGUGAAUGUGACUGCCUUUGUGCCCCUCCAAAGGAGGUUGGCACACACUCACAAGUCUAUGCUCACGCCUUGCUCCUUGCUUGGUCUGAAAAUCUUCCUAAUAAUGCCAAACACGACCUAACUUCGUUCCUUUCCUUCAUUUUAUCUUCACAACCCUACAAUGCACAAAAGUAAACAAUUGCACACUUUUUAGUGAUAAAAUCUGAUUAAAUUAAUGCUCAUUGCAAGAUAAUAACACUUCGCAUUACUAUAAUACGAGCACUUAUCAGCGUGCGAGUCGACGGGACGGAAAGUCGGAAGGUGCAAGGAAGCUGAAGGACGAGAUCCCCCCAAGGGGUGCACCGUCGACCGACCCUCGAUCUUCCGUGAAGGGUUUGAGUUGGAGCAUGCCUGUCGGGACCCGAAAGAUGGUGAACUAUGCCUGAGCAGGGCAAAGCCAAAGGAAACUCUGGUGGAGGCCCGCAGUGAUACGGACGUGCAAAUCGUUCGACUGACUUGUGUAUAGGGGCGAAAAACUAAUCAAACCAUCAAGUAGCUGGUUCCCUCCGAAGUUUCCCUCAUGAUAGCUGGACCCCGUAAGUGAGUUCUAUCGAGUAAAGCAAAUGAUUAAAGACAUCGGGGGCGCAACGCCCUUGACCUAUUCUGAAAAUUUAAAUAGGUAGGAUGGGGCGGCUGCUCCGGAGAGCCACGCCACGGAAUUAAGUGCUCCAAGUGGGGCAUUUUUGGUAAGCAGAACUGGCGAUGCGGGAUGAAUAGGAAGCCGGUUACGGUGCUCGACUGCAUGCUUUCCCAAAAUCCACAAAGGGUGUUGGUAAAUUAAGACAGCAGGACGGUGGUCAUGGAAGUCGAAAUCCACUAAGGAGUGUGUAACAACUCACCUGCAGAAUCAACUUGCACCGAAAAUGGAUGGCGCAGAAGCGCCGACCCAAACCCGGCCGUGAACGGCACUUGAACAUGGGUUAGCCGAUCCUAACGGAAUAGGGAGGCCCGUUAGAGAGCGCGGGGGUUAAAAUUCCCGAGCUGGGAUGUGGCAGCUGACGGCAACGUUAUGGAGUCCGGGGACGCCGGUGGGGGCCCCGGGGAGUGUUAUCUUUUCUGCUUAAGGGCCUGCCCAUCAUGGAAACGGCACAGCCAGAGGUAGGCUCCAGUGGCCGAAAGAGCACCGCACGUCAUGCGGUGCCCGGUGCCCCCCCGGCAGCCCUUAAAAAUCCGGAAGACCAAAUGCUAUCCACGCCCAGUCGUACUUAUAACCGCAUUAAGUCUUCAUGGUGAACAACCUCUGGCCGAUGGAGCAAUAUAGGCAAGUUUAGUCAGUAAAACGGAUUCGUAACUUUGGGAAAAUAAUUGGCUCUGAGGACUGGGUACGGGGUCCCGGCCCCGAACUCAUCGGCAGUUAGCGGACUACUCAAGCUGCGUCCGCAGUGAGAACAGGCCGCCGCGUGCCGGCUAGGGGACAGACCGGGAAUGGCCCACGCGCCGCUCCCUCGGUGCAGGGGUCUUCACCGGGUGUCGAACAACCGAGUCAGAACUGGUACGGACAAGGGGAAUCCUAUUGUUUAAUUAAAACAAAGAAUUACCAUGGUCCCCGCGGAUGCUCACAUAAUGUGAUUUCUGGCCUGAGCUCUGAAUGUCAAAGUGAAGAAAUUCAACCAAGCUCGGGUAAACGGCGGGAGUAACUAUGUUUCUCUUAAGGUAGCCAAAUACCUCAUCAUCUAAUUAGUGACGUGCAUGAAUAGAUGAUUAAAUCGAUCCGCAAGCGCACGGGUCGCCAAGUAAUACCUUGCACAAAAGCACAAGGGUCGUAUUCCACGGGGCUAAGGAGCUACUCUUACUCCUCCAUCGCCUAUUAUCUAACCUAACCAAACAAGCAUUGAUGUACGUUCUUUUGAAGCAAAGAAAUAAAUACGAUGUAAUUAGACAAAUUUAAAAGCAUAUAAUAUGG